GGGAGGCAGCAGUGGGGAAUAUUGCACAAUGGGCGCAAGCCUGAUGCAGCCAUGCCGCGUGUGUGAAGAAGGCCUUCGGGUUGUAAAGCACUUUCAGCGGGGAGGAAGGCGUUAAGGUUAAUAACCUCAUCGAUUGACGUUACCCGCAGAAGAAGCACCGGCUAACUCCGUGCCAGCAGCCGCGGUAAUACGGAGGGUGCAAGCGUUAAUCGGAAUUACUGGGCGUAAAGCGCACGCAGGC
rnacentral:rRNA from 2 species